rnacentral:rRNA from 1 species
AUUGAACGCUGGCGGCAGGCCUAACACAUGCAAGUCGAGCGAGCGGCGGACGGGUGAGUAAUGCCUGGGAAUUGCCCAGUCGAGGGGGAUAACAGUUGGAAACGACUGCUAAUACCGCAUACGAGUGGCGUGCCCAGGUGGAAUGAGCUAGUUGGGGAGGUAAGGGCUAAACAAGCCGACGAUCCCUAGCUGGUCUGAGAGGCUGGGCCGCCACACUGGGACUGAGACACGGUCCAGACUCCUACGGGAGGCAGCAGUGGGGAAUAUUGGACAAUGGGGGAAACCCUGAUUCAGCAAUGCCGCGUGUGUGAAGAAGGCCUUCGGGUUGUAAAGCACUUUUAGCGGGGAGGCGUUACUCGCAGAAGAAGCAACGGCUAACUCCGUGCCAGCAGCCGCGGUAAUAC